AUUGCUAUCAGUGAUUCACUCUUUAUGUAAUUAUACAAAGGUCUAAUCUGAUUCUUAGCAUCUUUAACUUUUGAAUCACAUCCUUUUUUGUUGUCUUGAGUCAGAAACAUGUACUCAUUCUAUAGUUUUUCCUUUGCUCUUACUCUUUUAUUUUAUUUUUACUUUACUAACAAUAUGUUGAUGGAUCGGAAUUUGUAUUUUUUGGCAAACAUACUUUCCUUUUUUCUGCCUCUCCUGAUCUCUUAGCCUUGUAUAUCACUCAGGGUACCAUGACAAUGCCAGUCUCUCCCCACCACACACCUCA
rnacentral:lncRNA from 1 species